GGGAAUAUUGCACAAUGGGCGCAAGCCUGAUGCAGCGACGCCGCGUGAGGGAUGGAGGCCUUCGGGUUGUAAACCUCUUUCAGCAGGGAAGAAGCGCAAGUGACGGUACCUGCAGAAGAAGCGCCGGCGAACUACGUGCCAGCAGCCGCGGUAAUACGUAGGGCGCAAGCGUUGUCCGGAAUUAUUGGGCGUAAAGAGCUCGUAGGCGGUUUGUCGCGUCUGCUGUGAAAACUCAAGGCUCAACCUUGGGCUUGCAGUGGGUACGGGCAGACUAGAGUGCGGUAGGGGUGACUGGAAUUCCUGGUGUAGCGGUGGAAUGCGCAGAUAUCAGGAGGAACACCGAUGGCGAAGGCAGGUCACUGGGCCGCAACUGACGCUGAGGAGCGAAAGCAUGGGGAGCGAACAGG
rnacentral:rRNA from 1 species